rnacentral:rRNA from 1 species
GACGAACGCUGGCGGCGUGCCUAAUACAUGCAAGUUGAGCGCUGAAGGCUGGUACUUGUACCAACUGGAUGAGCAGCGAACGGGUGAGUAACGCGUGGGGAAUCUGCCUUUGAGCGGGGGACAACAUUUGGAAACGAAUGCUAAUACCGCAUAAAAACUUUAAACACAAGUUUUAAGUUUGAAAGAUGCAAUUGCAUCACUCAAAGAUGAUCCCGCGUUGUAUUAGCUAGUUGGUGAGGUAAAGGCUCACCAAGGCGAUGAUACAUAGCCGACCUGAGAGGGUGAUCGGCCACAUUGGGACUGAGACACGGCCCAAACUCCUACGGGAGGCAGCAGUAGGGAAUCUUCGGCAAUGGACGAAAGUCUGACCGAGCAACGCCGCGUGAGUGAAGAAGGUUUUCGGAUCGUAAAACUCUGUUGGUAGAGAAGAACGUUGGUGAGAGUGGAAAGCUCAUCAAGUGACGGUAACUACACAGAAAGGGACGGCUAACUACGUG